GUCAAAGCGGUGCCACUGAACGGGUGGCUGAGGAUGCAGUGUUUUGGACACAGGCUUCAUCUGGCUAUUGGUCAAGGUAUGGAUGAUUCCCGCAUUACCCGGGCUGUCUCUCUGUGUCAGAGAGUUGUCAGCAGCUUCUCCUACAGCUGGAAGAAGAGGAGAGAACUGGCUGAAAUGCAGGUGCAGUGGGGUCUGCCGGGUCACCAGCUCGUCACAGAAGCAGCCACUCGCUGGGGCUCAAGGCUGCAAAUGAUUCAGUCCUGAAGCAGGAAAGAGCGCUUGCUAGGGUGCUGUCUGCUGAUAAGAAAACCAGACAUCUUGUUCCCACCUGGCAGGACAUAGAGGUCCUGGAGGCAGUUCAGAAAGCUCUGAGACCCCUUCAAGACUUCACUGACGCACUUUCAGGAGAAGACUACAUGACUCUCUCAUACGUCAGACCUGUGCUACACCUGUUCAACACUAGUCUCCUGGCACAUGAAGAGGGGGAUACUGAGCUCUUUAAAUACAUCAAGACCAGCAUUGUGGAUUACCUCAACAGUAAAUAUGCAGACCCACCCACCAGUGACCUGUUGGACAUUGCUUCUUUUGUGGAUCCACGGUUCAGGGCCAAAUGCAUCCAGAGUGAGAAAAUGCAUGCACUGAAACAUAAAGUCAUCUUGGAAGCGGAGUCUCUGCUGAAUGAUCAGGACAGAUGUUUGUCUGAGUUGCCUGACCCAACUGUGCCUGAGCCUGCAGAUCGAGGAGAAUCGGCGGGGGCAGUGCCACCCACAGCUAAAAAGAAGAAAUCAGUGGCAGGCACAGCACAGCCACCAGCACCACUUUCACGCAGAGGGAGAAAAUAGAAAAUGAACUUUCUAGCUAUCUGCUGUCAGUUUGUACAGAGAGUGAUGCUGACCAUCUCAAAUGGUGGAAGGAACAUAAAGUUGCCUAUCCAGCACUGAGCUGCCUAGCCAGGAAGUAUCUUUGUGUGCAGGCCACCAGUUCCCCCUCUGAAAGGGUUUUCAGUUGCAGUGAGAACAUUGGGAACAUUGUAACCUGCCACAGAGAAUCCCUGAAGCCUGACACUGUUGAUAGGCUAGUUUUCCUGGCACAAAAUCUGUGAGUUGUCCUUGCUUGUUGUUAUUUAUUUUCUCAAUAUUUGACUUGUUAUUUGAGAUUUACACAGGAUACACUGACCAGGUGUUGAACAAUUUUGUUCAGUCAGUUUUGUUUGUACAGGUUAUGGUAAAAGAGGAAGCACUUUGACACUCAUUCUUUUUGCUCUGUAUCUGUUAUAUUUACAUUUUAUUUUUUUAAUCAGAGAGCAUGUUUACAUAUUAUAUAUUUUCGUUUGUUUUUAAUAAAAGGACCGUUGGUA